AGCCGGGUCCUGCGCGGCGAGAACUCAUGAACCCCGUCAGGUCCGGAAGGAAGCAGCGGUAAGUGAGCCAUCUCGGGUGCCGCAGGAGAGCCUGGCUGGAGUU
rnacentral:SRP_RNA from 1 species